AGUGUGUGUGUUAGUGGAAGCGUCUGGAAAGGCGUGCGAUACAGGGUGACAGCCCCGUACACAAAAAUGCACAUAUUGUGAGCUUGAUGAGUAGGGCGGGACACGUGGUAUCCUGUCUGAAUAUGGGGGGACCAUCCUCCAAGGCUAAAUACUCCUGACUGACCGAUAGUGAACCAGUACCGUGAGGGAAAGGCGAAAAGAACCCCGGCGAGGGGAGUGAAAAAGAACCUGAAACCGUGUACGUACAAGCAGUGGGAGCACGCUUAGGCGUGUGACUGCGUACCUUUUGUAUAAUGGGUCAGCGACUUAUAUUCUGUAGCAAGGUUAACCGAAUAGGGGAGCCGAAGGGAAACCGAGUCUUAACUGGGCGUUAAGUUGCAGGGUAUAGACCCGAAACCCGGUGAUCUAGCCAUGGGCAGGUUGAAGGUUGGGUAACACUAACUGGAGGACCGAACCGACUAAUGUUGAAAAAUUAGCGGAUGACUUGUGGCUGGGGGUGAAAGGCCAAUCAAACCGGGAGAUAGCUGGUUCUCCCCGAAAGCUAUUUAGGUAGCGCCUCGUGAAUUCAUCUCCGGGGGUAGAGCACUGUUUCGGCA
rnacentral:rRNA from 1 species